UACGGAGGGGGCAAGCGUUAUCCGGAUUCACUGGGUUUAAAGGGUGCGUAGGCGGGCAGGUAAGUCCGUGGUGAAAUCUCUGAGCUUAACUCAGAAACUGCCAUGGAUACUAUUUGUCUUGAAUAUUGUGGAGGUAAGCGGAAUAUGUCAUGUAGCGGUGAAAUGCUUAGAUAUGACAUAGAACACCAAUUGCGAAGGCAGCUUACUACACAGUUAUUGACGCUGAGGCACGAAAGCGUGGGGAUCAAACAGG
rnacentral:rRNA from 1 species